AACGCACAUUGCGCCCCUUGGUAUUCCGAGGGGCAUGCCUGUUCGAGCGUCAUUAUGACCACUCAAGCCUAGCUUGGUAUUGGGGUUCGCGGUCUCGCGGCCUCUAAAAUCAGGGGCGGUGCCGUCUGGCUCUAAGCGUAGUAAUUUUCUCGCUAUGGGGUCCGGACGGUUGCUUGCCUAAACCCUCAACUUCUCACGGUUGACCUCGGAUCAGGUAGGGAUACCCGCUGAACUUAA
rnacentral:misc_RNA from 1 species